UUACGGUCACAUCUCACUGAAACACCGGUUCUCAUACGAUCAUCGAAGUUAAGCAACGUUGAGCCUGGUCAGUACCUAGACGGGUAACCGCUUGAGAAUACCAGGUGGUGUAA